rnacentral:rRNA from 1 species
UACAGAGGUCUCAAGCGUUGUUCGGAUUCAUUGGGCGUAAAGGGUGCGUAGGCGGCGCGGUAAGUCGGGGUGUGAAAUCUCGGAGCUUAACUCCGAAACUGCAUUCGAUACUGCCGUGCUUGAGGACUGGAGAGGAGACUGGAAUUUACGGUGUAGCGGUGAAAUGCGUAGAUAUCGUAAGGAAGACCAGUGGCGAAGGCGGGGUCUCUGGACAGUUCCUGACGCUGAGGCACGAAGGUCAGGGGAGCAAACGGG